GUCCCCAUAGCUCAACAGGAUAGAGUAUAGGCUUCCGGAGCCCAAGAUAUAGGUUCAAAUCCUAUUGGGGACA
rnacentral:tRNA from 1 species